GAUGAACGCUAGCGGCAGGCCUAAUACAUGCAAGUCGAACGGAUAUAUGUUUUUCGGAAUAUAUAUUAGUGGCGCACGGGUGAGUAACACGUACAUAACUUGCCCUCAAGCGGGGGAUAGCCUUGGGAAACUGAGAGUAAUACCCCAUAGAAUUAUUGGACGGCAUCGUUUGAUAAUUAAAACUACGGUGUUUGGGGAUAGAUGUGCGUCUGAUUAGCUAGUUGGUGAGGUAACUGCUCACCAAGGCGACGAUCAGUAGGGGGCGUGAGAGCGUGGCCCCCCACACGGGUACUGAGACACGGACCCGACUCCUACGGGAGGCAGCAGUAAGGAAUAUUGGUCAAUGGAGGGAACUCUGAACCACGCCAUGCCGCGUGAAGGA
rnacentral:rRNA from 1 species